GAUGAACGCUGGCGGCGUGCUUAAUACAUGCAAGUCGAACGGAGACUGUAGCAAUACUGUCUUAGUGGCGAACGGGUGAGUAACGCGUUGGUGACCUGCCCCGAAGAGGGGGAUAACAGUCCGAAAGGAUUGCUAAUACCCCAUGUGGUCGUUUGGAUUAGAUGCCUUACGACUAAACGGAUUUAUUCGCUUCGGGAGGGGCCUGCGUCCCAUCAGCUAGUUGGUAGGGUAAUAGCCUACCAAGGCGAUGACGGGUAGGGGACCUGAGAGGGUGGCCCCCCACAAUGGAACUGAAACACGGUCCAUACACCUACGGGUGGCAGCAGUAGGGAAUAUUGGUAAUCUGGGAAACCGGGAACCAGCAACGCCGCGUGCGCGAUGAAGGCCUUCGGGUUGUAAAGCGCUUUUUAAAGGGAUGAGGAAGGACAGUACCUUUAGAAUAAGCCUCGGCUAACUACGUGCUAGCAGCCGCGGUAAACACGAGAGUA
rnacentral:rRNA from 1 species